AUUGAACGCUGGCGGCAGGCUAACACAUGCAAGUCGAACGAGUGGCGGACGGGUGAGUAAUGUAUGGGAACGUGCCUAAUAGCGGGGGAUAACUACUCGAACGUGUGCUAUACCGCUUACUAUAGGAUUAGCCCAACUCGGAUUAGCUAGUUGGUGAGGUAAAGGCUCACCAAGGCAACGAUCCCUAGCUGGUAUGAGAGGACGACCAGCCACACUGGGACUGAGACACGACCCAGACUCCUACGGGAGGCAGCAGGGGGGAAUCUUGGACAAUGGGGGAAAACCUGAGCCAGCCAUGCCGCGUGUAUGAAGAAGGCUUCGGGUGGUAAAGUACUUUUGGCAGCGAAGCGUUAACUGCAGAAGAAGCACCGGCUAACUACGUGCCAGCAGCCGCGGUAAUAC
rnacentral:rRNA from 1 species